rnacentral:tRNA from 1 species
AAGACACUAGUAAAAAGAUAUUACGCCGCCUUGUCAAGGCAGCAUUGUGGGUUAAAGACCCACGUGUCUUA